rnacentral:rRNA from 1 species
UACGGGGGGAGCAAGCGUUGUUCGGAUUUACUGGGCGUAAAGGGCGCGUAGGCGGCCACCGCAAGUCGGUUGUGAAAUCUCCGGGCUUAACCCGGAAAGGUCAAUCGAUACUGCGGGGCUAGAGUGCAGAAGGGGCAACUGGAAUUCUCGGUGUAGCGGUGAAAUGCGUAGAUAUCGUAAGGAAGACCAGUGGCGAAGGCGGGUCUCUGGACAGUUCCUGACACUGAGGCACGAAGGCCAGGGGAGCAAACGGG